CAGCAGCCGCGGUAAUACCGGCGGCCCGAGUGGCGGUCACUAUUAUUGGGCUUAAAGCGUCCGUAGCCGGGUUGGGAAGUCCUCCGGGAAAUCUGGCCGCUUAACGGUCAGAAUGCCGGAGGAUACUCCCAGCCUAGGGAGCGGGGGAGGCCGAGGGGAUUCCCGGAGUAGGGGUGAAAUCCUAUAAUCCCGGGAGGACCACCUGUGGGGAAGGCGCUCGGCUGGAACGCGUCCGACGGUGAGGGACGAAGGCCAGGGGAGCAAACCGGAUUAGAUACCCGGGUAGUCCUGGCUGUAAACGAUGCGGACUUUGUGUCGGACAAGCUAUGAGCUUGUCCGGUGCCGGAGGGAAACCGUUAAGUCCGCCGCCUGGGGAGUACGGCCGCAAGGCUGAAACUUAAAGGAAUUGGCGGG
rnacentral:rRNA from 1 species